ensembl:lncRNA
CAUGGGUUUAAAUUUAAGCUCUGAAUAGCUGCAAUAGCUUAGAUUCUCAAGGUAGUAUAACAUCUAACUCCUGUUGGAGGUAGGGCAGUUCAGUCUCUGGGAAAUUGCCAUUGUCUGAAAUAUGACAGUGACCGAGAUAAGCACAGCCUCAGGCAUCUCCUCUUGCCUUAAUAGCUAGAUAAGUUGUUUACUGUCUAGGUCAGUAGAUGGAUGUCUCACACGCAGUAUGUCACACCAUCUGUGAGCUAUGACCAGAUAAUGCUACUGCUUCUGCAAAGGCCUCAGAAUCAGUCACACAAUUGUCUGCAACUCCGAACAGCAGCUGCAAGAUCACAACUGUGCACAGUAGUCCCGCCCCAUAGACUGUUGCGGUUACUUAGCCCAAAUCCAUCAACAGAAAAUGUGGAGGGCAUAUGGGAAGAGAGAGAGCUGUGUGUGCUGUGGACCUCCCAGAUGGCUGCCAGCCCCACAGAGAGUGAGGCAGCAGUCCCAACCAGUGGAACACUCUUAAGAGCUGUAAGAAGAAAGUUUUAAGAGGGAAGUUCAUGUUCAAGGUGAGAUGUGUGUCUUCUGAAUCAAGUCAGUGAAUAGUACUUAAUAACUAAGAGCUGCAGAACUAGCCAACGUAACCAAUACCAUAGGAAUAUAAGGAAUAACCUUCUUUAACCCACCCCCAACUUUAUUAACUACAUGCCUAUUAUUGAUAAUAGGACUUUUUUAUAAUUCUAUUUUUAAUAAUAUUCCUUAGAAAUUCACUUGUUAAAAGAAUAAAAAGCAUGCAUUUUUAUCUGCAUUUGAACAUUUUAUAGAAGUUACCUUUUAUAAAAUUUCCCUUUUAUUCCCUUGCAAGUUAAGUCAUUUUUUUUUUUAAUUGCGUUUUAAAAACACUUUAAUUGUCUUCAAAUUAUCUGUAUUGUGAUGCUACAAGGAGAUAGAAGACAUUUAAUGUCUUAUACGGUGUAAAUCAAGUACUUAAAAAACUCACAUAAAAGACAAAACAGUCAAAUAACCGAGCCUUCAUUAUGCGGUACUGUAGUUGCAUAUUCACGUAGCAUAAACAUUUACAGUAACUGGGUUAUUCUCAGAUGAAAAUCAAAUCUAUUUCAAUUCAGACAAUUUCUCUGCAUUAGGAGAACGAAUAAAUUAAAAUUGUGCUUCAGCAAUUUGCUCUUCCCAAGCAGCUAUCCUGCAAGCUCCACAGAGGAUGUCAAAACCUGCUGAUAUCUAGCAGAGUCAACUCCAAGUUUGUGUAUCCUGGUCCACUCUACCUUUCCAUCAGGCAGUACAUGUGGAAAUGGAAAAGUAGCUCUCUAAUUAAUCAAAGUCAGAUCUGCCUGAACGCCUGGAGUUGCUGCUGAUCCUUGUCCCAGCUUCUACCAUGUUCUCUCUCUAUGUUUUUUACCUUGAAAACUUCUGCUCUGAGCUGGGAAUGCCUGAAGGGCUUGCACGAACAAGGGAGAAUGAGGGAAGAGAAGGAAAGAACUGAAAAAGUGCAAAAAGAAAGGAGGGAAGGAAGGUGAGCCUGGAACACACUCCUCAAUUGUCUGACUGCCAUCUUCAGGGGAAGAGGGAUCUGAGACGAAAAGUGCUCAUGUAAAGUAGCCUCUCCCAGAAGCAGUCCCAUUUUUCUACAGCAACAUGACCAGUAUUGACUGCUUUCUAAGAUUCCUCCACCUUUAUAGUUUAUCUCUGUCCCUGCUGUAUCGUGUUCAAACUGUACAGACCCAGCUCAAUCCAAUUCCUGGCCAGUUUAAUGAUGAGCUUCAAAAUUAAGCUUACUUUUCUGAGAUGAUCUGAGAAUAGCAUUUAAGGCUAAUUGAGAAUUUUUUUUACGCAUCGUUUAAAGAUAUUGAUUCUUUAACAAAUAAAAAAGGCAAAACUAGUAUAGAGGAAAAGGCUGUAUGAAUGUUUUUUCAGGGGGAAAGUAAACAAAUGGAAAAUUAAAAUAUAUAUAUUUUAAAUACUUAUCUUUUAAAAAGAAUUGUUGAAUCAUAUGAAAUUAUCCCCUUUUGGAUAGCUAUUAGCAUUGCUAUGCAUCCUAAUAUACAAGAGAAACACUGAGUAUUCCAGUGCUGAAUUCCUAUCUCGUAUGCUUUACUAUUCUCUCUCCAGCAUUAGUAUUUUGGAAUUUACCUCACUUACCCUUCCACACACUUAUGCAGUGCUGACUGAUGCUAAUAAAAGUCACAUCUACAUGUGCAGAUUAGAACUCGGUUAUCUAAAGAGUUCAAUUUGAGCAUGAAAUACAGGCAGAGCAAAUAUGGGAUACAUAAGGGAUUUUGAGACUUUGUUAAAAGUAAGGAAAUGGUAUUGGGAUUUUGUUAAAUGAUAGGCAAGGAAAUCUUCCAGCUAUCACAAAGUGAUGUCAGAAUGAUAUUGCUGUGAACUGGGAGCACAGUAGGAUUUUCUUGCAGGUUGUCAGAGGAGGCCGGGGGAAGGGCUGCUCCCU